rnacentral:rRNA from 1 species
GACGAACCGUGCGAACGUUAUUCGGAUUCACUGGGCUUAAAGGGCGCGUAGGCGGUCGACCCAGUCCGGGGUGAAAUCUUUCGGCUUAACCGGAAAAGGGCCUUGGAUACUGGUCGACUUGAGGGAGGUAGGGGCCUGUGGAACUUCCGGUGGAGCGGUGAAAUGCGUUGAUAUCGGAAGGAACGCCGGUGGCGAAAGCACUCUGCUGGGCCGACACUGACACUGAGAGACGAAAGCUAGGGGAGCGAAUGGG